UAGGGAAUCUUCCACAAUGGACGCAAGUCUGAUGGAGCAACGCCGCGUGAGUGAAGAAGGUUUUCGGACCGUAAAGCUCUGUUGUUGGUGAAGAAGGAUAGAGGUAGUAACUGGCCUUUUAUUUGACGGUAAUCAACCAGAAAGUCACGGCUAACUACGUGCCAGCAGCCGCGGUAAUACGUAGGUGGCAAGCGUUGUCCGGAUUUAUUGGGCGUAAAGCGAGCGCAGGCGGAAGAAUAAGUCUGAUGUGAAAGCCCUCGGCUUAACCGAGGAAUUGCAUCGGAAACUGUUUUCUUGAGUGCAGAAGAGGAGAGUAGAACUCCAUGUGUAGCGGUGGAAUGCGUAGAUAUAUGGAAGAAUACCAGUGGCGAAGGCGGCUCUCUGGUCUGCAACUGACGCUGAGGCUCGAAAGCAUGGGUAGCGAACAGGAUUAGAUACCCUGGUAGUCCAUGCCGUAAACGAUGAGUGCUAAGUGUUGGGAGGCUUCCGCCUCUCAGUGCUGCAGCUAGCGCAUUAAGCACUCCGCCUGGGGGAGUACGACCGCAAGGUUGAAAC
rnacentral:rRNA from 1 species